rnacentral:rRNA from 1 species
UACGGAGGAUGCGAGCGUUAUCCGGAUUUAUUGGGUUUAAAGGGUGCGUAGGCGGGCUGAUAAGUCAGCGGUGAAAUGUACCGGCUUAACCGGUGAACUGCCAUUGAUACUGUCGGUCUUGAGUGCAGAUGAGGUAGGCGGAAUGUGUGGUGUAGCGGUGAAAUGCAUAGAUAUCACACAGAACACCGAUUGCGAAGGCAGCUUACUAAGGUGCCACUGACGCUGAGGCACGAAAGUGUGGGGAU